ACACCUCAACUCUCAUGGUUUGCCAUGAUGAGCUUGGACUUUGGGGGUCUUGCCGGCCUAUGGGUCGGCUCCUCUCAAAUUAAUCAGCUUGCCAGUGUUUGGUGGCAUCACAGGUGUGAUAACUAUCUACGCUUGUGGUUUUCCAUCAGGUAACCUUCAGUGAUGGAGGUUCGCUGGGGCUCAUAAAUGUCUCUCCUCAGUGAGGACGGCUUUUUUGAAC
rnacentral:misc_RNA from 1 species